rnacentral:misc_RNA from 1 species
GUAGGUGAACCUGCGGAAGGAUCAUUACUAGAGCAAAGGAUAGACAGCACCCGCGGAGCUCGCUCCCGGGGCUACCCUACUCCGGUAGGGUUUAGAGUCGUCGGGCCUCUCGCAGAAGCUCGGUCCUGAACUCCACCCUUGAAUAAACUACCUUUGUUGCUUUGGCGGGCCCGUCUUUGACCGGACCGUUGGGGGGUGCAUACCCUCUGAUCAGCGCCCGCCAGUAGCCCCCAUGAAAUCGUCGAAUGGU